UACGUAGGGGGCAAGCGUUGCCCGGAAUUAUUGGGCGUAAAGAGCACGUAGGCGGUCCGGUAAGUCGGCUGUGAAAGUCAAGGGCUCAACCCUUGAAAGCCGGCCGAUACUGUCGGACUAGAGUCCGGAAGAGGCGAGUGGAAUUCCCGGUGUAGCGGUGAAAUGCGCAGAUAUCAGGAGGAACACCUAUUGCGAAGGCAGCUCGCUGGGACGUAACUGACGCUGAGACGCGAAAGCGUGGGGAGCAAACAGG
rnacentral:rRNA from 1 species